GCCCGGCUAGCUCAAUCGGUAGAGCGUGAGACUCUUAAAUCACGGUUCAUCUCAAGGUUGUGGGUUCGACCCCCACGUCGGGCU
rnacentral:tRNA from 2 species